rnacentral:ncRNA from 1 species
GCCUGGGUCGGAAACCAGGCCAAACGAAGGAG